rnacentral:misc_RNA from 1 species
GUUCCUCCUCUCCUUUUUUCCCUCCCCUUUCCCUCUCCUCUUCUAGUAUGCCUGUUUGAGGGUCAGCCUAUAAAAAAUCGACAUCGUUGCUGUUUCACGGUGACGUUCUUCGGAAAUUGGGUCAUCUUAAAUCUUUUGGGUUUAAGCGACUUAAAAUUAUCUUUUUGAUUCCAUGAACGUGUUUCUAAGAUUUAUUUCUUUACACGUUUAAUGUAUCGAUUUUUAUUAGACGUUACCAUCCUCUCGUAUCUCGUCCAUAAUCUUUCCUUCACUGACCUCAGACAGGUAAGAGUACCCG